rnacentral:rRNA from 1 species
AUUGAACGCUGGCGACAUGCCUUACACAUGCAAGUCGAACGGCAGCACGGGUGCUUGCACCUGGUGGCGAGUGGCGAACGGGUGAGUAAUACAUCGGAACAUGUCCUGUAGUGGGGGAUAGCCCGGCGAAAGCCGGAUUAAUACCGCAUACGAUCUACGGAUGAAAGCGGGGGACCUUCGGGCCUCGCGCUAUCGGGUUGGCCGAUGGCUGAUUAGCUAGUUGGUGGGGUAAAGGCCUACCAAGGCGACGAUCAGUAGCUGGUCUGAGAGGACGACCAGCCACACUGGGACUGAGACACGGCCCAGACUCCUAAGGGAGGCAGCAGUGGGGAAUUUUGGACAAUGGGCGAAAGCCUGAUCCAGCAAUGCCGCGUGUGUGAAGAAGGCCUUCGGGUUGUAAAGCACUUUUGUCCGGAAAGAAAUCCUUGGCCCUAAUACGGUCGGGGGAUGACGGUACCGGAAGAAUAAGCACCGGCUAACUACGUG